AGGACGAACGCUGGCGGCGUGCCUAACACAUGCAAGUCGAACGCGCUCCAUUCGGUAGCAAUACUGAUGAAGAGCGAGUGGCGAACGGGUGAGUAGCACGUGAGCAACCUGCCCCGAAGACCGGGACAACACCGGGAAACCGGUGCUAAUACCGGAUAUCCCUAUCGGACCGCAUGAUCUGAUAAGGAAAUGGAUUCCGCUUCGGGAGGGGCUCGCGGCCUAUCAGCUAGUUGGUGAGGUAACGGCCCACCAAGGCAUCGACGGGUAGCUGGUCUGAGAGGACGAUCAGCCACACUGGGACUGAGACACGGCCCAGACUCCUACGGGAGGCAGCAGUGGGGAAUCUUGCGCAAUGGGCGAAAGCCUGACGCAGCAACGCCGCGUGGAGGACGAAGGCUUUCUGAGUUGUAAACUCCUUUCAGCAGGGACGAUAGUGACGGUACCUGCAGAAGAAGCACCGGCCAACUACGCGCCAGCAGCCG
rnacentral:rRNA from 1 species